rnacentral:lncRNA from 1 species
GGAGGAUCUGGCAAUACAUCACUAUCAAUUGCAGGCAACAGAUUUCACCCCCUGCAGGAACAGAAAAAUUAAAUCACUUAUUUUAUGGAAGGAUGCUUGGGAGAAGAUGACUGAGCAAAUCAUGAAGAGGUCUGGUGCCUCAGGUCUCUGUGGCUGCAAUUGUGGCCAUCUUGUGUAACCUGUAACUGCUUCCUCUGAGCCCUGUCUGUGAGAAGAAUCCAAAAUGAGUAACUUCAGUUUAAAAAUCUGUGGAUGUCUUUGGUGCUGGUGAAUAGACAGCAGCCUACACUGUCAGCUCUAAAGAAACAAGGAUCAAACCUCCACCUCCAGAAGAGAGGAGUCACUCAGAGAGAGACUCUAAGUUUAUCAGAGCUGUCUGCAUGGUGAGACAGCAUGCAGAACAGGAGACAUUGUUUCCCCGAAAUCCUCCCAGAAUUGCUCACGUUUCAGCAGAAUCAUUCUAUUUAUCCAUGUGAGUGUGUGAUGUGGACCAGUACCAGGUGACUAAGACUCUUAAUCGUUUUGCAAAUAGAAGUGAUCAGCUAUACAGGCUUCCUACCAUGUGUUUCCUCCUCGAACAAAAGGCAGAUCCUGUUCUAAAUAGGCUUGAAGGUAAAUCUGAAAAACAGAGUUUAAUAUUAAAGUAAAUAAAAACGGAUAAUUUGUGAAGUUAUCCUAGUCA